rnacentral:rRNA from 1 species
CCUACGGGGGGCAGCAGUGGGGAAUAUUGGACAAUGGGGGCAACCCUGAUCCAGCCAUGCCGCGUGUGUGAAGAAGGCCCUCGGGUUGUAAAGCACCUUCAGUGAGGAAGAACGCCUGGUGGUUAAUACCCAUCAGGAAAGACAUCACUCACAGAAGAAGCACCGGCUAACUCCGUGCCAGCAGCCGCGGUAAUACGGAGGGUGCGAGCGUUAAUCGGAAUUACUGGGCGUAAAGCGCGCGUAGGUGGCUUGAUAAGCCGGUUGUGAAAGCCCCGGGCUCAACCUGGGAACGGCAUCCGGAACUGUCAAGCUAGAGUGCAGGAGAGGAAGGUAGAAUUCCCGGUGUAGCGGUGAAAUGCGUAGAGAUCGGGAGGAAUACCAGUGGCGAAGGCGGCCUUCUGGACUGACACUGACACUGAGGUGCGAAAGCGUGGGUAGCAAACAGGAUUAGAUACCCUUGUAGUC